AAAAUGGAAAAGCUUGUUAACACACUGGAGAAACUUGAGAUUUGCCCAGUCACGAGUUUUCAUUAAUAUUAGAACAAGCUUUCACUUUGGUAAUGGAGCGAAAAACAAGAAACGUAGGUUAUUAAUUCUAAAAGUCUAGGAAGGUCGAACUAUUUGCAGGUUAUUUCAAGCACUCCGAAGCUCUGACAAUCUGGUAUGUGGAUCCAUCAUUCAUUACUGUAAAUAAAGAUUAUGUGCAUACCAGCGAGAACACUAGACACAUUGUUCCAAACGGGAGCUGAAAAAGCUAAAGAUAACAGAUAAUCAUUUAUGGAGUGUUGAAGUGCACUUUGAUCUUAAGCCAUGGCAUAAUACUUAUUGGUCACGCAUGGAUGAGCAUCAGUGUCAAAUUGCUGCGAUGAAGGUCUCUUUCAUGUUAAGCCAGAAUUUCUAAGAAACAAGGUAGAAGUGAUUCGUAUGAUUCAAUUUGGAAAGUAUUCAAGAAAAUGAAACUUGAGCUUCUGGAAUCCAUUUUACAACUUGAUAGCAGCAUUUCUGAUGUAGAAUAAAAGAGUGUCUAAGGAAUUGGAGGAGUGUCAACUGAAAUUCUGUUUUGAUCCCACCACAAAAGUUGGUAUUCAGAAUUUUUAAGAAACAAGGUAGAAGUGAUUCGUAUGAUUCAAUUUGGAGAGUAUUCAAGAAAAUGAAACAUGAGCUUCUGGAAUCCAUUUUACAACUUGUUAGCAGCAUUUCUGAUGUAGAAUAAAAGAGUGUCUAAGGAAUAGGAGGAGUGUCAACUGAAAUCCUGUUUUGAUCCCACCACAAGAGGAGAUCCGGAGUGCAGAGCUCUUCCAGAUUCAUUUUUAUAAUAUACAAUUAAUUUUAAUUUUAAAUAAUAUUAAUUUUUAAAUUAAUUAAUAUAAACAAUAUAAUUAAUACAGGGUGGCCCAGACUUACCGUACCA